GUGAGUCAUCGAAUCUUUGAACGCACAUUGCGCCCGCUAGUAUUCUGGCGGGCAUGCCUGUUCGAGCGUCAUUUCAACCCUCAAGCCCUCCUGGGCUUGGCGUUGGGGAUCGGCCCCGCUCCGGCGGCCGGCCCCGAAAUCCAGUGGCGGUCACGCCGCGGCUUCCUCUGCGUAGUAGCAACACCUCGCACCGGGACGCGGCGCGGCCACGCCGUAAAUCAGACGAAUCUUUCUCAAGGUUGACCUCGGAUCAGGUAGGAAUACCCGCUGAACUUAAGCAUAUCAAUAAGCGGAGGA
rnacentral:misc_RNA from 1 species